rnacentral:rRNA from 1 species
GUGGGGAAUCUUCCGCAAUGGACGAAAGUCUGACGGAGCAACGCCGCGUGAGUGAAGAAGGUUUUCGGAUCGUAAAGCUCUUUCGUUAGGGACGAACGUGCUCUUUGUGAAUAAUGAGGAGUAAUGACGGUACCUAAAUAAGAAGCCACGGCUAACUACGUGCCAGCAGCCGCGGUAAUACGUAGGUGGCAAGCGUUGUCCGGAAUUAUUGGGCGUAAAGCGCGCGCAGGCGGGAUAUCAAGUCUGUCUUAAAAGUGCGAGGCUCAACCUCGUGAGGGGACAGAAACUGGUAUUCUUGAGUGUCGGAGAGGAAAGUGGAAUUCCAAGUGUAGCGGUGAAAUGCGUAGAGAUUUGGAAGAACACCAGUGGCGAAGGCGACUUUCUGGACGAUGUCUGACGCUGAGGCGCGAAAGCUAGGGGAGCGAACGGGAUUAGAAACCCGAGUAGUCC